AAAAAAGCAAACAAAAGGGGAUACGUACAUUUACUGGUUCGUUAUCGAUUUACUUGAAAUGGAACUCAUAGCCAAAGGCUUUCCCAGAGACAUCCAAAUGUAAGGAUUUGCAUGGAAUAGGUUAAUUAAGUCAACAUUUGCACAAAAAAAACACUCAAUAUAGACAAUGGACUCGUUGUGAUUUGGUUUCCUAAUAGUCAACACGCGUUUCCUAGAUUUGGACCUAGCAUCGAUAGAUUUUUAACUUUUUUUUCUUCAGAAAUCAAAGAAGAAGAGCUAUUAAUCUAACAACUCUAAAAAACUCACCUAUCUUGCAUAGCCUUGGAUGCUCUCAACUGGUCUCUGCGAACAAGCAAAUGAACAUGACGGGCAUAUUUUGUGAGGUACAAAGCUUCCUCGGUGGCCGUAUCUCCUCCUCCAACAACGGCAAGUACUUGCCCUUUAAACAAAGGCGAAGCUCCAUCACAUAUCGCGCAAGCACUUAUUCCCCUACUCCAAAAUUCUUCCUCUCGAGGUAGCCUCAGUCUCUUCGCUGUAGCUCCAGUAGCAUAAAUGAUACUAUGGCACUUAACCUACAAAAUUAAGCAAGAACUUGUUUUCAUCAUUGUGGUUGUCAGUUUAAAAGACUGAGCUUAUGUUCAUUAAACCAAUGGAAGCACAUAUAUUUAGAAGAAGUAAAGAGUCUCCAACACUAUCAACAAUAGUCUCUACCUUUCUAGGAGAAGAAGAAACAAACCAAAAGACAAUUGCACAAAAAAAACUCAAUACCUUCCUCCAUGGAUUAAACACACAAUUAUAUAGCAUAUCAAAACCUACAUUCUCUAUACACUCCGAGUCGAAAAACAGAGUAGCAUAAAAAAGAAAGAUAAUCACCUUACGUUCACUACUUUGCACAGUAAAAGGAGCCGUUUUGACACUAAGAGAUUCCACAUCUUCUGGAUACAACUCUGCUCCCCACCUCUCAGCUUGCUUCCUCAUUCUACACAUUCAACAAAAAAACCAAAAAAAUAGCCUCAGAUGAUGGAUAAUCCUGAACAGGGCCGUUCUGAGUAUAGCAAGAUGAAACAUUAGCCUCAACUCCCAAAAUUUAAAUAGUUAAACAUGUAUAAUACAUCCGCCCCUCCCAAAUUGAUAAGAAAAAUAUAAAUAUCAAUCAUUUAACUCUGAAUAACUAAUUGUUCCAUUAGAAAUGAAGUACAUCAGAAGUUGGAAUGAAUAAUAUUAUAAGAGAGAUGUGCCAAUACAUAUCACCAAUUGAUUCUCUUCUUGUUAAACCCGAUCCAUGCAAUCUAACCCGAUCCACAGUUGCUGAAACCUCAUCUAACUUAAUUGUUUAAUUGUUUCAAGCUCCGUGAAUCUAAGAUAAUUAAAACGUUGUUGCUCAGAAUCCAAUUCAUCACCUCUCCAUCAAAUCAGGACCGGUGAUUCCUUCUGGAAACCCCGGAAAAUUCUCAACCUCGGUGGUCGUCAUCAACUGUCCGCCGGGAACUCCUCCCAUCUGAUACCCUUCGAACACCACCGGCUUCAAAUUAGCUCGCGCGGCGUAUAUAGCCGCUGUGUACCCCGCGGGACCUGAUAGCAUCGAUAGAUUUUUAACUUUUUUUUCUUCAGAAAUCAAAGAAGAAGAGCUAUUAAUCUAACAACUCUAAAAAACUCACCUAUCUUGCAUAGCCUUGGAUGCUCUCAACUGGUCUCUGCGAACAAGCAAAUGAACAUGACGGGCAUAUUUUGUGAGGUACAAAGCUUCCUCGGUGGCCGUAUCUCCUCCUCCAACAACGGCAAGUACUUGCCCUUUAAACAAAGGCGAAGCUCCAUCACAUAUCGCGCAAGCACUUAUUCCCCUACUCCAAAAUUCUUCCUCUCGAGGUAGCCUCAGUCUCUUCGCUGUAGCUCCAGUAGCAUAAAUGAUACUAUGGCACUUAACCU
rnacentral:lncRNA from 1 species